rnacentral:rRNA from 1 species
UGCGUAGGUGGUUUCUUAAGUCAGAGGUGAAAGGCUACGGCUCAACCGUAGUAAGCCUUUGAAACUGGGAAACUUGAGUGCAGGAGAGGAGAGUGGAAUUCCUAGUGUAGCGGUGAAAUGCGUAGAUAUUAGGAGGAACACCAGUUGCGAAGGCGGCUCUCUGGACUGUAACUGACACUGAGGCUCGAAAGCGUGGGGAGCAAACA